GGGGCAUUCCCUGAGGUCCUUUUCUACCCUCAGAGGUUACCUGGCAGCGCUGGUGUUCAGGGGAUAAAAAUCAGAGAGUGAUUCUCCUAGUCACCCUUGGCCUUCUAUCCACCCAGCAAAACAGAAGCCAUCAUCAUGGAGAGGCUGAGGAAGCCAAUGACACCUACUGACUCAGCCUUAUCCCCUGAUGGAGACAAGUCCUUCAAGAAACUGAGACAGGGGUUCAAUCCUUGGGCCAAGAAGAUCCCACAUGCCUGAAGCAAC